rnacentral:rRNA from 1 species
UACGAAGGGGGCUAGCGUUGUUCGGAAUUACUGGGCGUAAAGGGCGCGUAGGCGGCUUAUCAAGUCAGGGGUGAAAUCCUAGAGCUCAACUCUAGAACUGCCUUUGAAACUGAUAAGCUAGAGUUUGGUAGAGGAUAGUGGAAUUCCUAAUGUAGCGGUGAAAUGCGUAGAUAUUAGGAGGAACACCAGUGGCGAAGGCGGCUAUCUGGGCCAAUACUGACGCUGAGGCGCGAAAGCGUGGGGAGCAAACAGG